CCCUUCGAUGUUCGGAGCUGCACGCGCGCUACACUGUGGGUGGCAGCAUGUUAGCUUGCCUCGCUCGCAAGAGUGGGGUAAUCGUUUGAAAAUCCCACGUGAUUGGGAUAGGGACUUGUAAUUAUUUCCCUUGAACGAGGAAUCCCUAGUAAGUGCAGGUCAUCAGCUUGCGCUGAUUACGUCCCUGCCCUUUGUACACACCGCCCGUCGCACCUACCGAUUGAAUGGUCCGGUGAAGCCUCCGGAUUGGCGCGCACCUCGGUGCCGCCGAGAAGUUGGCUAAACCUUACCAUUUAGAGGAAGGUGAAGUCGUAACA
rnacentral:rRNA from 1 species